UACGUAGGGUGCGAGCGUUAAUCGGAAUUACUGGGCGUAAAGCGUGCGCAGGCUGUUUUGUAAGUCAGAUGUGAAAUCCCUGGGCUCAACCUAGGAACUGCGUUUGAAACUACAAGGCUAGAGUGUAGCAGGGGGGGGUAGAAUUCCACGUGUAGCAGUGAAAUGCGUAGAGAUGUGGAGGAAUACCAAUGGCGAAGGCAGCCCCCUGGGUUAACACUGACGCUCAUGCACGAAAGCGUGGGGAGCAAACAGG
rnacentral:rRNA from 1 species